UAGCUGCGUUAACUGGUGUGAAUUGCAGGACACGCCGAGCACUAAGUUUUCGAACGCAUAUUGCGGCUACGGGUCUUCCCGUAGCCUCGUCUGUCUGAGGGUCGGUUAAUAACCAACCAUUGUAAGAGUCCGUUUCGAGAUCAUGCCAUUUAGUUGUAGGUUUCGUCGGACUUUGGUCGACGCGGUGUUUCGCUGAGAACUGCAGCGGCAUCGGUCCGGCGCGACGUGCUGGAUCGCUCUGCCGUCUUUUGCGAAUAGUUUGAAAGCGUUUAACACUGCGUGUAAUAUAUUCAAUGCAUUGUUGCAUACAAUUACAUUGUUGCAUCAAUUCAUCAAUCUUGUCGACCUCAGAUCAGGCGAGAUUACCCGCUGAAUUUAA
rnacentral:misc_RNA from 1 species